CCUACGGGAGGCAGCAGUGAGGAAUAUUGGUCAAUGGGCGCGCGCCUGAACCAGCCAAGUAGCGUGAAGGAUGACUGCCCUAUGGGUUGUAAACCUCUUUUAUAAGGGAGUAAAGUGCGCCACGUGUGGCGUUUUGUAUGUACUUUAUGAAUAAGGAUCGGCUAACUCCGUGCCAGCAGCCGCGGUAAUACGGAGGAUCCGAGCGUUGUUCGGAUUUAUUGGGUUUAAAGGGAGCGUAGAUGGGUUGUUAAGUCAGUUGUGAAAGUUUGGGGCUCAACCGUAAAAUUGCCGUUGAUACUGGCAGUCUUGAGUACAGUAGAGGUAGGCGGAAUUCGUGGUGUAGCGGUGAAAUGCUUAGAUAUCACGAAGAACUCCGAUUGCGAAGGCAGCUUACUAGACUGCAACUGACACUGAGGCUCGAAAGUGUGGGUAUCAAACAGGAUUAGAUACCCCAGUAGUC
rnacentral:rRNA from 1 species